AUGGACCAAUCCAUCCCUUUUUCCCGUGCAUAUGCAUCGGACUCGGAUGACGAUGGUCCCGAUGAAGAAGUUGAUGAGGAGGGGUUCACGCCGAAGGAGGCCCAAGCAUUCAAGAAGGUAUUAGGGAAGGACCACAAGACACCAUUGUUCAAGGAUCUUAGUCUCGCGGAUGAAGCCGUUGUGGAUGGUGGCAAAUGCAUAUCUCUUGGAGCUAGGCCAAGUUCUCACGUGAUUUGGAAGACGGCAAGAACGGGAUAUAUCCCGGUUGUGAGUUCGAAUCCUUCUUGGAAUUGA
rnacentral:rRNA from 1 species